UCGACUUGGAGGUUGUUCCCUUGAGGAGUGGCUUCCGGAGCUAACGCGUUAAGUCGACCGCCUGGGGAGUACGGCCGCAAGGUUAAAACUCAAAUGAAUUGACGGGGGCCCGCACAAGCGGUGGAGCAUGUGGUUUAAUUCGAUGCAACGCGAAGAACCUUACCUACUCUUGACAUCCAGAGAACUUAGCAGAGAUGCUUUGGUGCCUUCGGGAACUCUGAGACAGGUGCUGCAUGGCUGUCGUCAGCUCGUGUUGUGAAAUGUUGGGUUAAGUCCCGCAACGAGCGCAACCCUUAUCCUUUGUUGCCAGCGGUUAGGCCGGGAACUCAAAGGAGACUGCCAGUGAUAAACUGGAGGAAGGUGGGGAUGACGUCAAGUCAUCAUGGCCCUUACGAGUAGGGCUACACACGUGCUACAAUGGCGCAUACAAAGAGAAGCGACCUCGCGAGAGCAAGCGGACCUCAUAAAGUGCGUCGUAGUCCGGAUUGGAGUCUGCAACUCGACUCCAUGAAGUCGGAAUCGCUAGUAAUCGUAGAUCAGAAUGCUACGGUGAAUACGUUCCCGGGCCUUGUACACACCGCCCGUCACACCAUGGGAGUGGGUUGCAAAAGAAGUAGGUAGCUUAACCUUCGGGAGGGCGCUUACCACUUUGUGA
rnacentral:rRNA from 1 species